rnacentral:rRNA from 1 species
CAGUCGCCGCGGUAAUACAGAGGGUGCAAGCGUUAAUCGGAGUUACUGGGCGUAAAGGGCGCGUAGGCGGUUAUAUAAGUGAGAUGUGAAAUCUCUGGGCUUAACCUAGGAACUGCAUCUUAUACUGUAUGGCUAGAGUAUUGUAGAGGGUAGUGGAAUUUCCGGUGUAGCGGUGAAAUGCGUUGAGAUCGGAAAGAACACCAACGGCGAAAGCACUCUGCUGGGCCGACACUGACACUGAGAGACGAAAGCUAGGGGAGCAAAUGGGAUUAGAGACCCCAGUAGUCCCUGUCUCUUAUAC